rnacentral:hammerhead_ribozyme from 1 species
AAGCGAAACCCCGGCCCAGCCGGGGUCUGUCGGGCGUGGUGGCCCGGCACUGAUGAGCAGCCCAAA